rnacentral:rRNA from 1 species
CCUGGCUCAGGAUGAACGCUGGCGGCGUGCCUAAUACAUGCAAGUCGAGCGAAUGGAUUAAGAGCUUGCUCUUAUGAAGUUAGCGGCGGACGGGUGAGUAACACGUGGGUAACCUGCCCAUAAGACUGGGAUAACUCCGGGAAACCGGGGCUAAUACCGGAUAACAUUUUGAACCGCAUGGUUCGAAAUUGAAAGGCGGCUUCGGCUGUCACUUAUGGAUGGACCCGCGUCGCAUUAGCUAGUUGGUGAGGUAACGGCUCACCAAGGCAACGAUGCGUAGCCGACCUGAGAGGGUGAUCGGCCACACUGGGACUGAGACACGGCCCAGACUCCUACGGGAGGC